GAUGCUGACAGUGAACAGUGAUGGGUGUGGAGGAAAGGGUGGUGCAGUCACUUUAGGCUUGAGAUGCCAUUCCCACAGGAGGGACACGCCCCGGUGUUUUCCAAGACAGAGACGAAGGCAAACAUGAAGCAGAUCCAUCUUUGCAUCUUAAAGGAGCAGUUAUUCUGAGCCUUGGAGGUCAGCACUGAAUUCUGGCCUGCUGUAAGACCAGACCAAGAUGAAGUGAGAAGGCCCCUCUCUUCAACAGGGAGUGGCAGCGCAACGUGGAAAGGCUUAACACAGACACACACUAACACACACACACCUCAUGUCUGUUUAUUCACAUCGGCAAAGCACGUGCAGACACAUGUGCGUGUGCGCACACACACACACACGCACACAAUCUGCCUCACCCUCACAUAGACAUACGCAUACAAAAGCACACCUGUCAGGGCCUUUCCACUGUGUGAGCAAAAGCAAAGAAGUCCGGCCCCCCCUCCGUCUCUCUGUAUGUGGUAUCCCAUGUCUGUUAUAUUAAAGCAAAUCUAUUCAGUUCCCACUUUCUUAUCUGAAAUAAUGGCAUGAGCAAUUUUCACAUUUAAGUAAGCAAGGACACAUGCAGUCUCUCUCUCUUCCACUCUCUCACUUAAUGAAUGGAAUCAGAUCUGGGCCCCUGUGGCUGCGGUCUAAUCUGCCUUUGAAGAUUUCUACAAUUUACAGAAAUAAAUAA
ensembl:lncRNA